GUAGAGACAAGGUCUCAUUAUAUUGCCCAGGCUGGUCUCUCAAACUCCUGGGCUCAAGCAAUCCUCCAGCCUCAGCCUCCUAAAGUGAUGGGAUUACAGGCAUGAGUCACCACACUCGGCCUGGGCAGGACUUUCUAAAGAGGGACUGACUCCCACACACUGACUCCCUGGAGCUGGCGGGAUGAAGCCCACGAACCUUGGCCUGGCUUGCUAAAUCCUCCCUCCUGGCUCCCUCUCCGGCUGGCUCCUCAGCUUACGCGCUUUCCUCCAGGCAGCUCUUGGGCUUCGCAGUGACCCUUCCUCGGUGCUCCCCAACAGCAUGCUUCUAGCAUCUCAUCCCAACAGAGUGACCAGCAGCCAUGUGCGGCUGUGUGGCCCUCACCAAGUCAUUUCACUUCGUUUUUAUGCUUUGGCUUUCACAUUUCCACGCAUGUGAACGGAGAUGACCAUGGUGCCGACCCCAAAGGACCCUUACACGUCUUAAAAAAGUGAGCCACGGAAAGGCCUCAGCCCAGUGCCUAGCAGAGAAGCAGCACACGCGAGGGAAGGAACGACUAGAGAAGACCUGUGGUGUGCCAGGCACUAGACCUGGGGCUCGGCGGCACGUGUCAGCUCCUUGCAACUGUGAAACAACUGGAGUGCAGCGAGGGUGUCACCUCCCAGCUGGAUUUAAGGGGCUGAGUUGUCCACUCUGAUCUUUUCCAAGCACAAACUGCAAAGCAGACCAGAAAGCAGCUGGCCCUGACUCCAGGGCUACCCACAGAUGCCCCUGUACCUCCUCAUGCUCCUGUGCUCCCAUGUGAUGUCCUGGGUUGUGCAAGAUGACAAGGCUGGGGAAGUCCCAAGCUGAAGAGACCAAGUGCUCCCUGACAAUUUGCCGAUCUAAUCACGUACAACUUAAGACAAAGUUAACCCAUCUCAUUGAAUGAGAUGGUAUAAUGGUGAUGACUGAGCUGCCCGCUAAUUGUGCUCAACCAGGAAGCAGCUCAUGGAGUUGGUUGUAAUUAGUAUUUGUGUUACACAGGUGGGUGGGUGGGUGGGUGAGGGCUGGGCAGAGGGAAGAGGAAGUAGGUGGGGCAGGAAGCUCUGGGGACUCCUUGGAUCCAUAAACCCCAUGCCAGCCAACUCAUGUGGUUGAUCCUGUCUAAUCUUCAUGAUGACCUCAUGAUGUACUGUUAUCUCUCUUCUAAGGUGAGAAAACAGGCUCAGAGAAGUCCAUUCACCUGUCCAAGGUCAGAGAGCUAGAAAAUGACAGAUCCAGGGUUCCCUCUUCAGCCCAGGAGGUGUCUUGGAGAGCAGAAGGAACAGGAAUAGGGCUGGGAGGCUGGAGAUCCACAUUUGGGUCCCAGUUCUGACACUGCCUUACCAUGGGCCUCAGCAAGUAGCAUCCCUCUUCAGGACACAAACAGAUAGGUCUGUCAGGUUACGGGCGGCUGAGGGUGUGGACUUGGGAGCUAGGCUCCUUGGAUUCUAAUCCUUGGGCAAGCUACUUCACCAUCUGAGCCUCGGUGUCCUCAUCUGUAAAAUGGAGAUGACAACAGUGUCUCCCUCAUAGGCUUGUGAAGAUAAAAUGAGUAUCAAGACUUAGAA